UUGAACGCUGGCGGCAGGCCUAACACAUGCAAGUCGAGCGGAUGAAGGGAGCUUGCUCCUGGAUUCAGCGGCGGACGGGUGAGUAAUGCCUAGGAAUCUGCCUGGUAGUGGGGGAUAACGUCCGGAAACGGGCGCUAAUACCGCAUACGUCCUGAGGGAGAAAGUGGGGGAUCUUCGGACCUCACGCUAUCAGAUGAGCCUAGGUCGGAUUAGCUAGUUGGUGGGGUAAAGGCCUACCAAGGCGACGAUCCGUAACUGGUCUGAGAGGAUGAUCAGUCACACUGGAACUGAGACACGGUCCAGACUCCUACGGGAGGCAGCAGUGGGGAAUAUUGGACAAUGGGCGAAAGCCUGAUCCAGCCAUGCCGCGUGUGUGAAGAAGGUCUUCGGAUUGUAAAGCACUUUAAGUUGGGAGGAAGGGCAGUAAGUUAAUACCUUGCUGUUUUGACGUUACCAACAGAAUAAGCACCGGCUAACUUUGUG
rnacentral:rRNA from 1 species